CAGCGGUGGAAUGUGGUGGAACUCCCACACCUGUAUGCGCAGGUGUUCACUCACGUUGUCGGAUCUGGAGGCAGGGCUCUGCUGGCCUCACAAGAUAUGUGUUUAUGAAAGAAGGUUCCAUUUUUGAGAGAGGAGAAAGACAUUGUCAUAUUGGGGAAAGGAAGAGUGGAGGGAGUGGAACUUGGACUUGGCCUUGAAUAAUGAUCCCUUGGGCUGGGAUAUGAGGAAAGGAUUGGGGACUAUACCGUGUACAGACAAGCAUACAGCACGCAGCCCAUCUAUAAGUGCUGCCCGGGUUGGAGCCGGUGGGACCAUGAACCUGGCUGCCCACACUCUGUCUCUGCAGAGGGGACAUGUUUCAGUGGAAAGAGGUGCUCAGAUAGUGAGG